AUGGUCUUAGCUUGCUAAGGCCGAUGGCGACCGGCGCACGGGUGAGUAACACGUAUCCAACCUGCCGUCUACUCUUGGACAGCCUUCUGAAAGGAAGAUUAAUACAAGAUGGCAUCAUGAGUCCGCAUGUUCACAUGAUUAAAGGUAUUCCGGUAGACGAUGGGGAUGCGUUCCAUUAGAUAGUAGGCGGGGUAACGGCCCACCUAGUCUUCGAUGGAUAGGGGUUCUGAGAGGAAGGUCCCCCACAUUGGAACUGAGACACGGUCCAAACUCCUACGGGAGGCAGCAGUGAGGAAUAUUGGUCAAUGGGCGAGAGCCUGAACCAGCCAAGUAGCGUGAAGGAUGACUGCCCUAUGGGUUGUAAACUUCUUUUAUAAAGGAAUAAAGUCGGGUAUGGAUACCCGUUUGCAUGUACUUUAUGAAUAAGGAUCGGCUAACUCCGUGCCAGCAGCCGCGGUAAUACGGAGGAUCCGAGCGUUAUCCGGAUUUAUUGGGUUUAAAGGGAGCGUAGAUGGAUGUUUAAGUCAGUUGUGAAAGUUUGCGGCUCAACCGUAAAAUUGCAGUUGAUACUGGAUAUCUUGAGUGCAGUUGAGGCAGGCGGAAUUCGUGGUGUAGCGGUGAAAUGCUUAGAUAUCACGAAGAACUCCGAUUGCGAAGGCAGCCUGCUAAGCUGCAACUGACAUUGAGGCUCGAAAGUGUGGGUAUCAAACAGGAUUAGAUACCCUGGUAGU
rnacentral:rRNA from 1 species